rnacentral:lncRNA from 1 species
UCAAGAAAUCCUUACCAAGACCAGUGUCAGGAAGGUUUCCCCUGUGCUUUCUCCUAGGAGUUUUUGGCUUUCAGGUCUUACAUCAUUUAAGUCUCUAAUGCAUUUUGAGCAGAUUUUUGUGUAUCGUGUAAGAUAAGAAUCGAACCCAUUUUUUGCAUGUGGAUAUCCACUUUUCUCAACACUGUUUUCGAGGAGACUAUCCUUUCCCCGUUGGAAAGUCUUUGCAUUCUUGUCCAAAAUUUCUGUUUGUUUGUUUUAAAAUAUGGGGGCAGCAGGGGAGUCCUAGGAUGAGAAACAUCUGGGUUCCCUGGCGCUCAGGGCCCCUCCUCCCCUGGUCGUUGAGGAGUGUGGCUCACAUCACCUGUUAUGAAACCCUACAGGCCGCGGCCUCUUCCACCCCUCGUUAGAGAGGCCGGGUGGGUGCAGCCUGCUCUCCAGGCCUCGCGCUGCCCGCCCGGGGAAGGGACCCGGAGCCCAGCGAUGCAAGUGAACUGUGCAUGCGCGGCACUUGCCAGCGCGUGCAGAACCCGGGGUGCCGAGCUUCUGGCGGGAGUCCCGGCCCCUUCGGUGUCCUGGUCCGAGGCCGCGUCACCUCCCACGCACCUUUCCAUCGUCCCCGGGGCCAGGGGUUGCUCCUGGAGCUUCGAGGUCCCCAAACACAAGCCAGAUGAGAUGGAUGAACCAAAGCUGAAGUGAAGCAAUUGGAUGGCCAUCCUAGCAGAGAAUGUUCCUUGUUUCCCAUCACUUUGCUGGAGCACAGUUUACAGUCCAAAGGUAGUUUCUCUCUUAGGGGAUUAACUUUUGGCCUUGGGCCCAGGGAACAAUGAACAGUGCAAAUGUGCCUCAGCUGUUAGUAACUCUUUGCCUUAUAUGUCUGCAGUCUUUCUAUUUGUUCUAUAUGGCCAGCUGCUGGCCUGCCACUUGGCUGCCUCACACCAAUGUAUCUGUUAACCAAUUUGCUCCCCCCUCAUCUGGUUCUGGAAAUUGAUCCAUGCAUACCUAAUUCAUUACCUCAAACAAGCCUCUAGUCAAGAGGCUUGAGAACCACAGGUGGCUGUUCAACUGGGGGAAACAGAAGGCCCUGUGGAAAUGAUCUCUUUAGAAUAACAAAACCUAUUUUUAUGGCACUUACAUCUGAUUUCUUGCAUAUAUCAAGUGUUAAUUCAUGUUUUAUUACGAUCAGAUUUCUCAUGCCUUUCAAAUGAAUUUAAUAUAGCGAAAUAUAAUUUUUCAUUUCUUUCUACUUAGAAUAAACAGCGUUAUCUAAUCCAUUUUCUGGUCCCUCGUAUUUAUCUGAGCCCUCUUAUGCCAAUCUUCAAACAAAUCCUAAUAAAGAAAACAUAAUCACAUUCUCGGAUAAAGUGGACU